UUAAAAAAUAAAAAUAAUAUUAAUAAUAUUAAUAAUAGAAACAUUUAUAGAAAACUAAUUAGACUGUACAAUAGUUAAUGUGACAGAGGAGAAAAUCGAGACACGUAGCACCAGCUAGAAACUUGUCUACCAUUUGUCUACCAUUCUUAAUUAUAUUGAUCAGAGCUAAUUGUUGGAAAUACAAUCGCACAUAAUCAGAUUUAUGAAUGAUGCAUUAAUAAUAUAUAUUAUCAAUUAAUAGCUCUACAUCUACAAUCUAUAUAUUCUCGAAUGAGAAUACGGAGUUCUUUUAUUCGAGUUAUCAAAGUGGCGUGCCUUCUCGUUCCUGUGACCCGCGGUCACAAGCAGCGAUUAUCGUUGUCGUUGUCGUCGUCGCGACAAGGGAACAGGUAUCGAUUCUUUGGUAUCGACAUAACGCGGCGCAUGCUGCCAUGCAACCAAAAUUUCAAAGAGUAAAAGCGGGCAGGAAUAUAUCAAAAAGCACCUCAAGCCUAUUGGCUACAUCUAAUUGUCUCAUAUAAAUUAUGUCUAUUUCAAGAAAAGCGAUUUGCGAAAUAUCCGUUAAUACUAAUCGAUAGAAUACUUCGAUAUGUAUUUUUGUAACAAUUUAGUGAUAACAAGGUCAGAAACAUUCUCGCAAAAUAAAUCUCGUUUCAUGUUUUACAAGUUACAUUUAAUUUUACGUUUAUAUAAUAUAUCCCAGAGUGUUAGCGGAAAAUAGAGCAUUCCUACGGAAUGAGAUAUUGGCUUUCGCAACAGACUAAUUGAAGAUAUCGAUAUUCAAAAAUAUCCAGAAAAAAAAAGCAUUAAUAAAUACAUUCUAUUAUACUGAAAUGUAUAAUAGAGAAGAAAAAAACUCUAUACUGAAAAAAUACGAUAGAAAAAUCGGCCAUUGCCAUUUCGACGAUGUCCGUGUACGUCUCUUUGGCAAACAUAUUUCUGUGAGAUUCGUUGUUCCCAAUGUGCGCGGCUCUUCUCGAGUCUAAUCGCCGAUUUUAUCAGCGCCACGAAUUAUCGCACACGGUACAGUCAUAGCAUCGGCGUUCAGUUCUGCGCACGCAUAAUCUAAGUCUACGUAGUAACUUCAUUUAGCGAACGAUACGAUAUGAGAAGAAUAAUCUAGAUCCUCGCGGGUCGGAUCGUCUUUGUAUAUCUACUCUCGUCUCUUCUCGUGAAAAUGAGCAGUAAGAAACACCAGACAAGAUAUGACAUCUUAAUUUCGUAUACGGUUCUUCAGAAAUGGUUCCCUUCAAGAAGUAAUUCAUAGCACGAAGCGUGCAUUUACGACAUAAGUAGUGUCCCAAAGUCGUCUAACUUCCAGCAAGCGGAACUCAUCUAAAGUUUGUUUCCAAAAACGGGCUUUCUCGCUGAGAAUCCGUUUAAUAAAAGCGGAGAUUUCAGUCAAAUAAGUUCUCGCGAUUUUAAUGUUCAUAGUUCCAGACCAGCUGUCAUGAAAUUAUGCAAAGUCAAACUAUCCCGGGUAUAUAAUUUCACAGACAAGCAAGAAGUCAACCGCUACGUUACGAGUAUAGAAGAGAUUCGUAGUCUAAAUGGAUAUUGUCAAGACAUGAUUUACGGGAUUUUUGUCUUCCUUCUUAAAGAAGAUGUCGAACGAGUGAUGUGUCGGUAAAUCGCAGGCUCUUGUAGCGAACAAAAAAUUAGAAUAAAGAUUCUAUUAUUGGCCGAAGCAAUAUUCCAUCGGAAGAAUAAAGAUUAUAAAAAUAUUU
rnacentral:lncRNA from 1 species